GAGAAUAAUAAUGUCCAAGAUGCAUAAGCACAAAUGCCCUUUGUGUUUAUUCUGUUGAGGAACGACAUAAGAUAAUUGUGAUGAUCCAGGAUGAAUGUCUUAUGUUGACUCAUAGCCUGCUCAAUAGUCAGGCCAUCAAGGUUAUGGGCGAUAUGGGCGGCCUCGAUUGAACUUCUCUGUCCAAUUUUGCUAUAUGGUGGGAAUUCCUGCAAGUUUUAGCCGGUCAUAGGCCCAUUUGUCCUCUAAGUACCAGAAGGAAAAAACAAGUAUCAAAUUUUCUGCAUUUUACGCGAAAGAUGCCCCAAACUUCAAGUUCCAAGCAUAGCCCAAGUUACCUGCUAUUAUCUGAGGAACUUUCUCCGCAUGUUGUCCUUGAUUGCCAGAAAACACUUCAAGUAUCUCAUUGAAUGAGUCAAAACUACCUGAAUCCUCUUUGAUUAAGGAUUUCGUCUCUUGUA